AGGACCGACUGGACAGGAAAAUCAGUCUAGCUGCAGCAUUCAUUACAGACUGUAGCGGGGCAAUACGGCUUUUGGGGAGACCAAUCAGGAGAGGGUUACAGUAAUCCAUGCGGGAAAUUACUAGAGCAUGGACAAGCUCCUUGGUAGCAUCUUGCGUAAGAAAGGGGCGGAUCCGGCUAUGUUUUUGAGUUGGUUGACUUGGCAACAAACUGGAU